rnacentral:rRNA from 1 species
UCUUGGUCAUUUAGAGGAAGUAAAAGUCGUAACAAGGUUUCCGUAGGUGAACCUGCGGAAGGAUCAUUAAAGAAAUUUAAUAAUUUUGAAAAUGGAUUUUUUUGUUUCGGCAAGAGCAUGAGAGCUUUUACUGGGCAAGAAGACAAGAGAUGGAGAGUCCAGCCGGGCCUGCGCUUAAGUGCGCGGUCUUGCUAGGCUUGUAAGUUUCUUUCUUGCUAUUCCAAACGGUGAGAGAUUUCUGUGCUUUUGUUAUAGGACAAUUAAAACCGUUUCAAUACAACACACUGUGGAGUUUUCAUAUCUUUGCAACUUUUUCUUUGGGCAUUCGAGCAAUCGGGGCCCAGAGGUAACAAACACAAACAAUUUUAUCUAUUCAUUAAAUUUUUGUCAAAAACAAGAAUUUUCGUAACUGGAAAUUUUAAAAUAUUAAAAACUUUCAACAACGGAUCUCUUGGUUCUCGCAUCGAUGAAGAACGCAGCGAAAUGCGAUACGUAAUGUGAAUUGCAGAAUUCCGUGAAUCAUCGAAUCUUUGAACGCACAUUGCGCCCCUUGGUAUUCCAGGGGGCAUGCCUGUUUGAGCGUCAUUUCCUUCUCAAACAUUCUGUUUGGUAGUGAGUGAUACUCUUUGGAGUUAACUUGAAAUUGCUGGCCUUUUCAUUGGAUGUUUUUUUUCCAAAGAGAGGUUUCUCUGCGUGCUUGAGGUAUAAUGCAAGUACGGUCGUUUUAGGUUUUACCAACUGCGGCUAAUCUUUUUUUAUACUGAGCGUAUUGGAACGUUAUCGAUAAGAAGAGAGCGUCUAGGCGAACAAUGUUCUUAAAGUUUGACCUCAAAUCAGGUAGGAGUACCCGCUGAACUUAAGCAUAUCAAUAAGCGGAG